GUAAAAUAUACAUGUUUGGGUCACCUUUUUCGAAAUUCAAAGUGAAGUCUACAAAAAAAUAUGUAUUGAGUUACUUUUUGUAAAUCGAUGUUGUCAAGUUCCAAAAAUAAUUAAUUUUUGAAUUUCUACCAAAGUAUUUGAUAUGGAUGUCUAGAAAGGAAGCCCACUGCUGGUUCCUGGCUUUUUCGUGGCGAUCCUCACCGACAUGGGCGACUCGCAACUGGGCUGCUUAUAUUGCCGCCUUUUUAUCAGGUCUCUUUGAAUGGAGCUUCCCAGGCUGCGAAUGGGCACCGCUGUAAUCCCAUCGAUCAGAUUCUCCCGGGCGUGCUGGAGCGUGCUAUCGAUCAGCUGCUCCACGGCUAUGGCUCGAGGAUCCACCAUCGGUUCACGCUCCAGCACGUCCACAAUCAUGCGCAGGGUCUCGUCCGCCUGGAACUCCUCCAGCGGCAGCACCUCAAUCAGCUCUUUGAACAUGUGAGCGACGAUGAAGUGGGUGCGGUUCACAACCUCGGAGUCGCCCAUAUGGACAUGAGCGCACAGCGAGUCCUUGGCGUGAUCGAAAAUUCCGGAUAUCAGCUCCUCGGUGUUCACAUCAGAGCGUUCGUAGUCGAACACAGCCACCACCUCGUUGAAUAGCUUGCGAAGCUCCUCGUUGCUGAUGUGGAUGAAGUACUUCUUCGGCACAAACGUCUGCAGAUGCUCCGUUAUGCACUCGGCUAUGCGAUCCGUGUACCGACCCUAAAAUAUAACCUUUGGCGGCCUGGCACAAAUAAAGCGAGGAGCGCUGGGCAAACUUGCGCACAUUCUCCGGAGUGGUGCUCUUCCCAAAGAAGCGAUUGAAACUCUUCUGGACAAUGGUCUGUACGCGAUCCAUGAUAAACUCAUCGGGCAUGGGUGGCAGCAUGUAGGCGUCGACAUUGAGGAUGGCCGGGCACACCAUCGCAUCGUCGUUGGGCAUUAUUUCACUGGUCACCACCUGGGGCUGUGCAUUGGGAUCCACCUCGAACUCGUAAUUGAUUUGCAGCGGCUUGGACUUCAGCCUGAGAGCGCAGAUCUCCCGCUCCAGGCACUGUUGAAUACAUAAUGCUUUAAGGAUCUGAAAUCAGUUUUGGAGAAUUACCCACUUCAAUCUGGUCCAGCAAGGAUUUUUCAAUGCCCCUCAGCUUCUCAAUGUCGUAGGAUAGAUUUAGUGCAUUCGGAUUGGCCCACUUGGCAUAGUUUUUGUUCUGAAUGUCCAACAGAGUGCGAAGGAUGUUGUUCUCUUCCCGGAGCACGGUCAUUAUGUUAACCUUCUCGGUGUUGUUCUGGGUCUCCAGGACCAGUUCCUCCUCGCAGCGAGCGAGUUCUUUCUGAUGCACAAUAGUUGGAUAUUAAAGAAAUUGUUAUACUUAUGAAAGC
ensembl:ncRNA asRNA:CR43824 antisense RNA:CR43824